GGGUUGCUAGCUCAAUGGUAGAGCAGCUGACUCUUAAUCAGUAGGUUCGGGGUUCGAGUCCCUGGCAACCCACCA
rnacentral:tRNA from 6 species